rnacentral:rRNA from 1 species
AUUGAACGCUGGCGGCAGGCCUAACACAUGCAAGUCGAGCGAGCGGCGGACGGGUGAGUAAUGUCUGGGAAACUGCCCGAUGGAGGGGGAUAACUACUGGAAACGGUAGCUAAUACCGCAUACUAUCAGAUGUGCCUAGGUCGGAUUAGCUAGUUGGUGGGGUAACGGCUCACCAAGGCGACGAUCCGUAACUGGUCUGAGAGGAUGACCAGCCACACUGGAACUGAGACACGGUCCAGACUCCGACGGGAGGCAGCAGUGGGGAAUAUUGCACAAUGGGCGCAAGCCUGAGACAGCCAUGCCGCGUGUGUGAAGAAGGCCUUCGGGUUGUAAAGCACUUUUGGCAGGGAAGCGGUACCUGCAGAAUAAGCACCGGCUAACUACGUGCCAGCCGCCGCGGUAAUUC